rnacentral:rRNA from 1 species
GCUUUACUGCAACCUGAUAUGGAAUGUUUGUACCGCUUGUACAGGAUAGGUAGGAGCCGAAGAGACGUGUGCGCUAGCAUACGAGGAGGCAAUGGUGGGAUACUCCCCUGGCUGUAUGACCAUUCUAACCCGCCACGCUUAGCGCGUGGGGAGACAGUGUCAGGUGGGCAGUUUGACUGGGGCGGUCGCCUCCUAAAGAGUAACGGAGGCGCCCAAAGGUUCCCUCAGAAUG